UCCUCCUCCUCCCCCGAAAGCCGCGACCGAGUGGCCCGGUCCGCGCGCGCAGCUCGCGCCCAGCGCUCUCUAGCCCGGGCGGCGGCGGCGGCGGCGGCGGCGGCGGCGGCGGCGGCGGCGGCGGCGGCGGAGGCUGCGGCGGCGGUAGCGGCGGCGGCGGCGGGGGAGGGGUGCGACGGGGGAGGGGAAGAGGCCUGGCCCCGCGGCGGCCGCCGCAGCCCGCCUGCCCGCCCGCCGCCGCCCGGCCCGCCCGCCGCCGGCCGGCCAGCCGCUGGGCCCCGGGCCCGAGACUGGCGCCCCGCGCCCCGGAUUCGCCUCGGCUCGGCCGCGCGGCAUUGAAAAGGAAAAGAUGAAAUAUAUGUUUAUAUAUAACUCUGUUUCUGCAUACCUCACUGGAGUCAAAACGCAUUUAAUUGUUCUAUUUCCCUUUUCUCCAUGAUCUCCGACACUGGUACAGUAGAAGAAACUGAGGUACCGUGAAACAGGAAAGUCUCUGGGACUGAGAAACAGAGAGAGAGACACAGCCAGAGAAGGAACACAGGCAGGAGGAGUGAGAGGGAAAAGCAGGCCUCCUGCAGAGCAGGGAGCCAGAUGCGGGACUCGAUCCCAGGACCUUGGGAUCAUGACCCAGGCCAGGGACAGUUGCUUAACGACUGAGCCACCCAGGUGUGCCUCAUCAUGGGACUUCAGAGAGAAGGGUGCCUCGACCAGUGGUUUCCAGACGGCUAAGUGUAUGUUUUGUGUUUGUGCAAAUGUGUACUCCUGUGUGAACACCAUUCCGGUAAAGAUACAACGGAUUUCCAGCACCCCAGAACUUUCCAGUGUCUUUCUGGUCUGUGCCCCUCCUAAAGACAACCACCGUUGAGGAAACCUUAUCCUCGCCUUCCAGGAGCCAGAUCACCAGAUGAGGGCUCCCCGGAAACAGCUGCACCCAGACACUGAGCCUGUGGGCUUCCCUCCUUCCUCCUGUUGGUCCAUCUGAAGCUGGUCCCGGGGGGAGGGGAGGGGGGUGCAGGGCUCUGCCUCCCACCCCCACUGCCUUCUUGGGGCCUAAGGGUUCACCGAGACCCUUACCGCUCCUUCAACUUGCUCCUUCUCAACCACGUCUCCUUCGCUUUAAAAGAAGUCCUCUGGGGGCACCUGGGUGGCUCAGUGGGUUGAGCCUCUGCCUUCAGCUCAGGUCAUGAUCCCAGAGACCAGGGAUCGAGCCCCACAUCGGGCUCUCCGCUCAGCAGGGAGCCUGCUUCCCCCUCUCUCUCUCUGCCUGCCUCUCUGUCUACUUGUGAUCUCUGCCUGUCAAAUAAAUAAAUAAAAUCU